UGGGUCGGCUGGACGGUCGCGUGGCGGGGUGACCCGCACCGAGGAACGUCCGGGCUCCACAUGGCAGGGCGGUGGGUAACACCCACCCGGAGCGAUCCGCGAGACAGUGCCACAGAGAGCAGACCGCCGCGGCUUCGGCCGCGGUAAGGGUGAAAGGGUGGUGUAAGAGACCACCGGGGUCGUGGUGACACGACCCGCACGGUAAACCUCGCCCGGAGCAAGGUCAGACAGAGGAUGUUGACGCGGCCCGCCGAGUCCUCGGGUAGACCGCUGGAGCGGCACGGCAACGUGUCGCCGAGAGAGAUGACCGUCCACGGAGCACGCCUCGCGCGUGCUCCCGGACAGAACCCGGCGUACAGGCCGGCCCAUUCG
rnacentral:RNase_P_RNA from 1 species